CCUUCGAUAGCUCAGUUGGUAGAGCGGAGGACUGUAGUGGAUUACCCCUGGCAAUCCUUAGGUCGCUGGUUCGAUUCCGGCUCGAAGGA
rnacentral:tRNA from 1 species